CGCUUCUGAGGUAAUGGGGGCAAAACGAGGGCUAACAACCUGUUGGAUAUGGAGAUGCUUCAGAUACUGGGAAUGACUGUGGGAAUGUCACUGAAAUGCCCGAGUUCAGGGUGCGGAGUAACUAACCACUGCCAUGUAUCAGUAAGAAUGUCAGCACGAGUAGGUCCUCACAGUGGAGCUGUCCAGCCUCUGCAUCGCCGACGGGCCCACUGCAGACAAAGGGAAACGUCACCUCAAGCGACCCCUUGUGGCUGGAGGACUGUGUAGCAGAAAUCGCCCCCCUGUCCUCCCCACACCCACCUUCGGGGGGCAUCCUGCGCGAGUGUCCAGAGGUGGUGGUGAGCCGGAAGCCGGCCGGCAGCGUCUCCGCAGCGCCGGGCAUCAUGCUGAUCCCGUGGAAGUCCCGUGGUGGAAACUGUCUCCUCCAGGGGGCGCUACGCUGGAAGUCCUUGUCGUCACACUAUGGAUUGGGGGGGUAAGAGAGAGGUUGUGCUAUUGUGUUAAACUCUGGGUGACAUGCUAUAUGUACACUACCGUUCAAAAGUUUGGGGUCACUUAGAAAUUUCCUUGCUUUUGAAAAAAAGGCAAGUUUUUUGUGCAUUAAAAUAACAGAUUGAUCAGAAA